rnacentral:rRNA from 1 species
CCUACGGGAGGCAGCAGUGAGGAAUAUUGGUCAAUGGCCGUAAGGCUGAACCAGCCAAGCCGCGUGAAGGACGAAGGUGCCAAGCAUUGUAAACUUCUUUUGUCAAGGGACAAAAUCAGUCUCGAGAGCCUGACCGAGGGUACUUGAAGAAAAAGCAUCGGCUAACUCCGUGCCAGCAGCCGCGGUAAUACGGAGGAUGCGAGCGUUAUCCGGAUUUAUUGGGUUUAAAGGGUGCGUAGGCGGACUGUUAAGUCAGCGGUAAAAGCCCGGGGCUCAACCCCGGCGAGCCGUUGAAACUGGCUGGCUUGAGAGGGCGAGAGGUAUGCGGAAUGCGCAGUGUAGCGGUGAAAUGCUUAGAUAUUGCGAAGAACUCCGAUUGCGAAGGCAGCAUACCGGCGGGGAUCUGACGCUGAGGCACGAAGGCGUGGGUAUCGAACAGGAUUAGAUACCCUAGUAGUC